rnacentral:miRNA from 1 species
CGGGCGUGGUGGUGGGCG